rnacentral:lncRNA from 1 species
UUUAAGAAGACACCAAAAAUAGGAAAACCCAGCUUAUCUCCUUCUUCAACCACAACAAAAAAAAAGGGACCAACAGCCCUUCCUCGUCGAAAAAGCCAUCGACGCACCGCCCAACCCCCGCGUCGUCCAGCCAGACCACCGUCGUCCCUCCAUUCCCGUCAACAGCCUUUUACCAAGCAACCAAACGAACCACCACGACCAUAAAUCCAUCUCCUUCACGUCUCAAAACCACCACUGCCCGUCACCGGAAAAAUCAAACAGACCACCCUCAUCGUCGUCAUAGACUCCCUCCGUUCGUCGCUACAUCCGUCAACCGGACGAGCUCAAC